CAGAGCUUAGCAUAAUGCCUGGCAGGUCAUGGGCGCUUGGUAAAAGUUGGUUGAAUGAGUGAGUAAAUGAGGUACCAAGAGACACAAAGGAUGGUUGGAUAUCAGUGGCCAGUCCAAUGGCCCUUGGUUCAGGACUUCUUUUUCGCUUUAGAGCCUGGCUAGUCUGUGUCCCAAAAAAGCCUUCCCUCAUCCCAAACCAGAGGACCCCAAAUAUUUUCACCAAGCAUCCUUUCUUUGUCAUACAUUUGAGGAAAAAGUUAUUUCUCUAGAAGAGAAAUCAAGAAGGGAGAGAACGCCUUGUCUUAACUUCCAGGGACAAAUGGAAACUGAAACACUCACGCCUACGUGGCUCACGUUCCAGGGAGAGACACAGUAACGUGGCAUCUGGAAAAUACCCAGCUCAAGCCAGAUUUCUGUCAGUUCCUUCUCUGUCGGUCUGUGCUUCCCGGCUAGUGAAGUAUACGGUUUCUGCCUUUCCUUCUUCCCAAAGAAAACUUUGAUGAAAAAAAAGGGGUUCUGCCUCCUGGGGAAUCUGAUGGACUCCUUGGGGGCUGUCUUCGUCCAAGGUCAGUGGUCAUUACUGUCACCUCCAAGAGAGAACCAAGAAUCCUGGCUCUUUGGCUGCUGCCACUGUCUUGGCCACUAGGUGUCACCAGUGGUCCUGCAGCCCACCUCCAGACGGGAGGCAGGCAGAUGUCACAGGGAAUACUUCCUGUCUACAUCCUGCUCAAAGAAGAGGCUUUUGGAAUACCUACUCUCUUGCCACAGUGGACCUCAGCAGGCAAUCCCGCUCAGAAAAGAAAAUUGUUGGACGUAAGUGCUAGUCCUACCGUCUGAGUGCUGAAUCUUCUCCGUGGUCAUCUGAGAAAGGAGAGGUUCUCGCAGCAGGAGAGGUGGACAGACCUGGGUCCUGGUUCUGGCACUGCCACCCACUUCUGGUGUGACUCAGGGGAGCCACUCAGCCGUCUGAGCACCCCUACCUGAGAGAAAUUAAGACCUGACACAUGUUUGCAGCUUUUUCAUUUUGUCGCCGAGGUGAAUUUUAGUUUCCUGAGUGCUUACUGCACGGCUUACUUCAGGGGCUCAAAUGGUGCUAGGUGGGUGGGUACUAGUUUGAGGAUUAUGAAGAUAGGUGGGGGAGGACUGGGCUGUCUCUCCAGGCGAGGUUCAACAUACUCACCCCACCCCCAACUUUCUGGAGUCAGACAGACUAGGGUUUAUUGCAGCCUGACUCCAACCAGCUACUUCACUGGGUAUGUCACUUAACUCAUCUGAGCCUCAGUUUCCUCAUAUGCAGAAUGAGGGCAAUAUCUACCUUUCAGAGGGUGUGAUGGUUAAUUUUAUGUGUCAACUUGGCUGGGCCAGGGAGUACCCAGAUAUUUGGUGGAGCAUUAUUCUGGCUGUUUCUGUAAGGGGGUUUUGGAUGAGAUUAACAUUUAAAUCGGUAAGCUUUGAGUGAAGCAGAUUCCCCUCCAAAAUGUGGGUGUGCCUCAUCCAAUCAGUUGAAGGCCUGAGGAGAACAAAAACGCCAGCCUCCUGUGAGCAGGAAAGAAUUCUCCAGCAGACCGCCUUUGGACUUUCACCUGCUACACUGGCUCUUCCUGGUUCUAGAGCAGUUGGCCUUUGGAGCUGAACUGGAACAUCAGCUUUCUUGGGCCUCCAGGCACCACUCUACCCCGGAGAUUUUGGACUUGCCAGCUUCCAUAAUUGUGUGAACCAAUUCCUUAUAAUAAAUCAUAUA